rnacentral:rRNA from 1 species
UACGAAGGGGGCUAGCGUUGCUCGGAAUCACUGGGCGUAAAGCGCACGUAGGCGGAUCUUUAAGUCAGGGGUGAAAUCCUGGAGCUCAACUCCAGAACUGCCUCUGAUACUGGGGAUCUUGAGUCCGGAAGAGGUAAGUGGAACCGCGAGUGUAGAGGUGAAAUUCGUAGAUAUUCGCAAGAACACCAGUGGCGAAGGCGGCUUACUGGUCCGGUACUGACGCUGAGGUGCGAAAGCGUGGGGAGCAAACAGG